GCCCCUUCCUUUCGAUGGGCCCCAGCCAGAGCUUUGGAACGAGUUGUAGCUGAAAUGACAGUUUACAUUUCAGAGUUUUUGUGGCGUGUGCUCAACGCCCAGCCCAGACGAAUUUCGUCUAGUCAUGUGCGUUAAUUAUUCUGCCAGAUGUGUGACUGUGUUGAGGUGUAUGACUAUGACUGUGUGUGUGCUUGUUUGUGGCAUUUAAUUGCAAACGCUCUACGAAAGUGUCCAAAACAAGGGCAGGUAAAGCAAAGAAAUAAGGAAAAAAAAAAAAACAGAAUAGGCUUGAGGCAGGCUCUGAAUAUGCUAUCAGUAAACAAAAUGGAAAAGUUUUUCCAGCUGCUGCAGGCGAUAUGAAAAUAAAUACAACAAAAUUUGUAAAA